rnacentral:rRNA from 1 species
AGUGAACGCUGGCGGUAGACCUAACACAUGCAAGUCGAACGGCAGCACAGUAAGAGCUUGCUCUUACGGGUGGCGAGUGGCGGACGGGUGAGGAAUACAUCGGAAUCUACUUUUUCGUGGGGGAUAACGUAGGGAAACUUACGCUAAUACCGCAUACGACCUACGGGUGAAAGCAGGGGAUCUUCGGACCUUGCGCGAUUGAAUGAGCCGAUGUCGGAUUAGCUAGUUGGCGGGGUAAAGGCCCACCAAGGCGACGAUCCGUAGCUGGUCUGAGAGGAUGAUCAGCCACUCUGGAACUGAGACACGGUCCAGACUCCUACGGGAGGCAGCAGUGGGGAAUAUUGGACAAUGGGCGCAAGCCUGAUCCAGCCAUACCGCGUGGGUGAAGAAGGCCUUCGGGUUGUAAAGCCCUUUUGUUGGGAAAGAAAAGCAGCAGGUUAAUACCCCGCUGUUCUGACGGUACCCAAAGAAUAAGCACCGGCUAACUUCGUG